rnacentral:sRNA from 1 species
UUCUAGCCCGGAUAGGAAUGGAAAUCCUUUUUUUGCGGCGGCGAAGCCGCCGCAAAAAAAGAUUGUAAUGGAUAGCCGGACGCAAC